UUUCAUUAGUGUGAGUAUGCUCCAUUUCUAGCUUCAUAUCUUAUCCAUUUAAAUUAAAGUGUAGUCUCUUUGUAACGUCUGUUAGACUCACGUUCUAAGUGAUUAUGGCUGUCUCAAUUUUGCACUGUGUUUCAGAGACUUAAGAGAAAUUUCUAUUUGCAUUUCCCCCCUUUCUUUUGUAUCCGAAUGUGCCUGAACUUUUUCAAAUAUGUAAAUGCUGCCAUGUUCCAAACCCAUCUUUAGUGUCUUUGUAUGGAGCUGUGCACCCUGGAAAUAAACAUACAGUCCCAUGAGCAGGUGCCUAAGACAUUGGACCCCUUUGUAUUCACAGAGAGGUCAUAGGUCAUCGAGACUUGAAUUAAUAAGUGACAUUAUGCCAGUUUAUGUUCCUUCACAGCCUACAAACAAUGCUUCUUGUGCACUACAUAUUCUUCAGUGUAGAGCUCUUGUUCUUUUUGAGGAAAGGCACAGAUGCCCAAUUGUGUUUGAUGGAUUACUACACUCUUCUGAUGCAUACUACUAUUGAUGUGAUCCUGUUUUGUCGCAGCUUUGCUUUGUUUAAUGAAACACACUGUAAGCCUCUUUUGCACCUUGAAAUGGUAGAGAAUCCAGUGGGAUGCUCAAGCACCUGUAAACCAUCUUCUAUAAACAUAUUUGAUGUUCAAAUAAAAAUAAAAUAAAGGCAACA
rnacentral:lncRNA from 1 species